GGAGAGGUGUCCGAGCGGCUGAAGGAGCUGGUUUCGAAAACCAGUGUGCGGUUUAUACCGUACCGGGGGUUCGAAUCCCCCCCUCUCCG
rnacentral:tRNA from 1 species